rnacentral:misc_RNA from 1 species
CGAUUUUCUGCCCUCACCAUCUUCGGAGCAAGCCCCAGAACAAACGAUGGCUUUGUCAAAGACAAUUUAAUUCUUUUCAUGAGCGUUGUUCGCCGGCCAUCGUUAUUGCCGUCAGCUGCUGUAUCAGCCUUUCUUUUCCGACUGGUGGUUGUGUUCGAACCAUAUCCAACUUCCAUUACAUGCCCAUCUGCCAUUUGUUCCGGUUCCAUUCCUCUUGGUAUCUAUCUUGGUUAUACGAGUGGGGGCGGAGCGGCGGAGAGCCGGCGG